UACAGAGGUCCCGAGCGUUGUUCGGAUUUAUUGGGCGUAAAGGGUGCGUAGGCGGCGGAGUAAGUUGGGUGUGAAAUCCCGAGGCUCAACCUCGGAAUUGCAUUCAAUACUGCUUCGCUCGAGUACUGGAGAGGAGGCUGGAAUUUACGGUGUAGCAGUGAAAUGCGUAGAUAUCGUAAGGAAGGCCGGUGGCGAAAGCGAGCCUCUGGACAGUUACUGACGCUGAUGCACGAAGGCCAGGGAGCAAACGGG
rnacentral:rRNA from 1 species